GAUUUCAUUUUAUUCCUUUCCAGGGGCUUUCACAGCUUUUUAUGGCUGUUGGAUUUCUCUGUCCCCAAACUUGUAGCAAGUUUGGUGAAGGCCCUUUUUUUUAAAAUCUGUUUUUAGUAACGUAUUAUGUUGUAUUGUGGUUGUAUUUGACUUUAAAGCAAAGUGCUAUUUGCUGGAUAUGGGAGCUUAAUGUUGGAGAAAUUACUUACUGUUCCCAUAUAUCUAAAUUUUAAUUAUUUAUAAAUUUUUCCCAUUGUAAACAGUUUUCUAGUGUACACAGACUGAGAAGCUGAUGGGGUCAAUGGCUUAUCGAGAGAUAUUACACUUUCAAAUUUGUCUAGCUUUUUAUCUUUCAUUUCCUUGUAUCUGGCAAGUGGGACGUUGCUUGGGGUGCACUGAUCUUUGAACUGUGAGGUCAGAGUGAUGUUAUAUGUCAUAACUUAAACUCUUAUCUCUAAAUAUUUUAUACAAAGUACAACAGUAGAAAGUUUGUUACUUAAAUUGCGUUAGUUUCGAAUAUCCAACCCAGCCAAUGAAGUAGAACUGAGAUUGAAACUCUUCCUGUCAUUUGCUGCAAAUUUGUUGCCAAAAGUGUUUGAAGAAUACCCUUUAGAUAGCCCUCAGUUUCUGUUCUGAUCAGAUGUUUCUUGUGCUCAAUAGUCUAUGGGCAGUUUCAAUUAUUGCUGCUCCUCUUAGUUGAAUUACAUUUUGCAUUUCACAGCUGAUUAUUUUUAAAACAUUGUGAUGCUCGUGUACGUGGCAGCAUGCGCAUGUUUAGAUUCACACUUGUGUGAUCCUGAGCAUUUAACACUUUGAAUUUCCCAUCUAGAAGAAAUACUGAACCAGGAAACAAUUAAAAUUGCAGCUAGGCUGGUUAAAACUCUAUCCUGAAAGAGAGCCAUCGCAUGCAGAGGUACAAGAAUACCUCAUCUUCCACCCCACCUCAAAAGUGAUUAAUCUAGAGUUAGUUGAGUUCUUUAAAACCAAGAGAUUUUGGACACUGAAGGAAUAACAGAAUAAAGACAGGAUUUUGCAUUUGAAAUAAAUAGUGUUGCCUGAUAAAAAUGGUGUGACUGGCCAAUGACACCUUCCUUUCUGUGUACACUUAAUCAAGCUGACUUUGACUCUGAUGUCUUUGCUGUAGCAUUUGUCGUGCUGCUUCUCCUGAUCAGCUUCCAGAAGACCAUUUUUUCAAAUGCAGCAGUCAACUUUAGACAAGUAAAUUGAGACUGCGCAUUCUUGCAGUACAGAAGGAAUCCAUUUGACCUGUGAUUCCCAUGUUGGUUGUUUGAGAGAGCAGUCCAGUUUCAUCGUUCACCUAGAUUUUUUUCCUCCGUAAAGCCUGCAUAUUUGUUCUUGAAGUACAUGUUCAGUUUUCUUUUUAUGGAAUCCAGAUUCUAUUAUCCUGUGAUAUCAGAAAUGUUAUACCCUAAAUAAUUUCUUAUUUCUCUUCUGAUUCUUUGGCUAAUUAUUUUAAACAUGUGACCCCUGGUUGCUAUCUGAUUUGCCAAAGGGAAGUUUUUAUUGCUCUUUGUUCCAUCAAAAUGCUUCUAUUUUGAGGACCUGCUCUUAACCUCAUUUGGUCUGAACCAUCCCAGUUUCUGUAAUCAUCCACACAACUAAAGUCCUAUGUUCUUAGUAAACCUGUGUACUCUUUCAGAUGAUUCCCAGAAUUACAUCUAAUACUCUAUAGAGGUUAAGUUAGUGACUUGUAAAAUGUAAAUUAUUUGUUCUUGUAUUUAGCCCCCUUAGUUGUAAGGACAGUUGUCUGAUUAGAUUUUUGAUGUCUUAUGGCUUGCCCUGCCACCUUCUACAGAUUUGUAAGACCCUCAGCAAAAUAGUGUUGUUUAGAUCAUAGUGCUUCUAUUUUUUUUGCCAAAGUAUGUCACUUUUAUGUUUCAAAAUUAUAUUUUGGCAUUGUACGUAUUUCACACGUCUGCCCUCCAAAAGUCUGUGGCUACUCUUAAAUUCUUUGUGUAAAUUUCAAAAUUGCUCUGUCUUGCCAAAUACAGAUCAUUGUUUUUAUAUGUAUAUCGCAAAAAUGAGUUGUUCUACCUCUGAUCCCUGGAAAAUAUAUACUAUAUGUACACAACAGUUCCCCAGAAUUUAAACAAGAAAAGUGUAAAUAAAGUGAGUGUGGUCUUGACGAAGUCUGGGAGCUAUUAAUGGCUAACAGGAAGAUGGCGGAAGGUUGAACAGGUAUUUUGUGUCUUUGUUGUAGAAUGCUUGGGAAAACUUCCCAAAGACACUUGGAAAAAUCAAGGAGUGAAAGGCAGAGAGGAACUUAAAACAACCGCCAUCAACAGGGCACAGGUACUUGGAAAGCCAUUAGACCUAAAGGACUGACUAGUCCACGGGAUUUGAUCUGUAUUCUGGGGCCUUAAAGGAAUUGGCUGUAAUAAAGAUAGUAGAUAUACAGGUAAUUACCUUGAAAAAAUAACGUAGAUUCUGCAGAAUCCCAGCAUAUUAGAAAAUAGUGAAUGUGACACCUUUAUUCAAGAGAGCGAGAAAAUGAAAGUGAACUGUGAGCUAGUCAACCCAGCAUCUUGCAUGCGGAGCUUGCUAGAAUGCAUUAUUAAGGAGGUUAAAGCAAUACUUAGAAAAUUUUGAUGAUCAGGCAGAGUUAACAUCCUUUUUGAAAAGGAAAUGUUUUAAGUAAUUCAUUCUUUCUUAGAGAAAGUAACACAUGUGGUGGAUUACGCAAACCUGUCCAUGUUACAUACUUGGAUAUUCAGAAGACGUUUAAUAAGAUGUUGCACAAAUUGAGCUCCCAGUUUAGCAGAUAAUAUUCUAGCAUGGAUAAUGCAUUGUUUAGCUAAAUGUAAAAAAGUAUGGAUAAAUAGGUCUCUUUGGAUUUUCAUCCUGUAAUUGAGUGUCUCAAGGAUCAGUGAUGGGACUUGAAUUAUUUGCAGUCUGUACCACUGAUUUGAAUGAAGAAACUGACUGGUAGCUAUGUUUACCUACAAAACUAAUAGUUAGAAAUGAGGACCGAGGACAUAAGAGAAACAUAAGUCUGCAAAUGGGUUCAGGUUUUGUGGUUCAAAAUUUGACAGUGGAAGUACAAACUUUUCCUAGGUCCCUGUUAUUCUGAAAAAUAUCAGAUACUUAAGUGUUGCUGUUUAAUUCUCGGUCACCGUGUAGCCAUGUCUCCAUAAUGGCCAUCAGUCGUACAUUUUUAAUCUGUGUUUAUUCAUCUAUUUUAAGAAAGCUGCGUCCAUUCAGAUAUAGAACCAUCAACACACACUUCACUUUUUUUUGGGCAAACUCUAGCCUCGUUUACAAUUGCAGUGUUGUAUUUACAUAAGUUCUGUCUCUUCCUGCCGCACCCAAAUUAGCUAGCACUGUUUGGCUUGUUUAGCAAGGCUAUUUAAUUAACUUUUAAGUUCUGCAUCAGACCUGAGCCUUUGUCUAAAUUUAACUUGAACAAACUUAACAAAAACUGUGAAACAAAUUUUGAGGUACUCUCAUUAUCUAUAUCUCUCACGAAAGUAUUCUCUGCAUGUGUCCUCUUGCACUUUGUUUGCUCCGAAAGGUAUAACUGAAUUAGAAGCAGUUCAGAGAAGGCUGCUUGGCUCAUGCCUGAGAUGAAGGCUUCAUCUUAUUAAGGAACGGUGAACAGUUAACUAUAACAGCAGCGUUCCGUCACUUGCUUUUUAACGUGUAGGAAAGGAAAUGCCAAGAGCUCUGGCAGUACAGGUUAGUUUAAUCUGUAAGUAUCUGUUGUCUCUAAACAGUGUGAAUAUUAGUGGUGGAAGUUUUCCUUCAAAAAGCACAUUCGGAACUAAUGUCUAUAAUCACUUUUUUAAGAAAAGUGAUCGACAGUAAAACCUUUUAUUGAGUGAUCAUACACGGCUUCAAGACAACACUUGCUAUAAGCGAAUCAGUAAGAUUCGUAAAAGAUUAGAGCUUUGUGCUGGAUAUUCAUUUUUAUGGCUAUUUCUGAAUUUUUGUUGAUUUCUAAGUAUGUACCUGAUAUAAAUAAGGAUAAGAUCAAACAUUAGCUAAAAUUUUGAAGACUUGUUGGGCAAAUGCACUGGACGGGGCUUUGAACCACAAUAUAAAGAUCCCAAAGUUGCUUGUUCAUCUGCUGAAUUUAUUGAGCAGGAUUUUCCAGAAAGUCUGUGUGUAUGUGUGUGGUCUUCAGGCCUAGGUGGGGUCUGUCUUAACUGCAAAGCCUUCCACACCUAAUAAUCAAUUAAUGGCCAUUGCCUAACCUCCAGAAAGAAUGAAUACCAGUGUCCAAGAAACUACCCUGCAAGAGUUGGUACCUUCAGGAAGAAGGGGGCAAAUGAAAAAGAUUGAAACAAAAUAUAAUUGCCUACUUUUGUAGAACCCACCCCCAGCCCACCUGCAGCGCAGUACAGACCAAUCUACUUUGCUAUCUCAGCAACACAACCUUCUACUGCAUCUCUCUACAGUCUUUUCAGUUGAUGGAAUUGUGUGCAGUUGUUGUACAGGCCUUUAUUCAAUCAGUGGAGAUCGUGACAAGAAAUCCGCAAGUAGGGCACCCAUGUUGCAAAAUCAAAGUGAAAUGGACUGGAGCACUGCCGUGUCAGUGUGUUCCUGAAAAUGGUGCGACUCGCGUUGCAGAAAAUCUAAGCUUCUUUAUCAUGUGCAGUCGCUGGCUGUGACUAAACCGAGCAGCAGUUCUGGUGAUUAUCCAAGAACUGUUUUAAGAAUGGUAAAUCGGCAAUAAACAUUCAAUUAGUGGCUCAAACUUGUUGGCUAUUUUGUUUUGAAACUUCUAUCACCCUGUUGUUACACAAAAGUUGCAUCAACUUCCAAGGGCAAAUGUGGAAUAUGAUAAGCUACGUUAAAAUGUAUUCUUAUUUUAGCAGUCUCUGAAGUCAUCAAAAUAUAAAGUGCCUGAAAUUGGAGGCAGUAUCCUUUUCUUUAGUGACAAACAUUCCCUUUACUUUCCCCUCCUGCCUGUUAUCAAAGUAUGAUGUGUUCCCACAAAAUGGCAGAGAUGAUCCAAGUUGAUGAACAUUUGGGCAAUAUUUCUAUGGCCUCUUUCAGUGUGACAUUUAAUAUAGGUUUUACUGUCGGCUAAAUAGAACUGUACCAUCCAGUUGACGCAAUCUGCAUUUUAAAUAAUUGACUUUAAUCUUAUAAAGUAAUGUACUGAUCUAUCAAUCAAUUUUGAUAAAUUUUAGGAAUUUUUUGGAAUUAAAGUUUUGGUAUACCCAGAUUUGAAAUGGAUGUACCACUACAAUACCUCCAUGUCACAAUAACCAAUCUGUUAUGCAACCAUUUUGUUAUUUGGGUGUAACACAUGCAAGUUUUUAUUUUCUUUCCUGUAAUAUUGCUCGGAAGACCUUUGUCUUAUCGAUGUGCCUCUUUUAUUGAUAUCUGAAUAAUUGUGAAAAGUGGUGGGUGGGGUGAGGCAAAACACAAUUGAAUUGACAACAUGCAGAAGAAAAGCCAUUCCAAAUGGAGAACUGAUGUUAGCAUUCAUUUGUGAAGGGAUUUGAACAACGUCUUUUCAAUCAGUGAAUUUCUUCGAAGACCAAAUCAAGACUUCCAGAUAUCCAGGCUCUAUUUACUGUGGGUACAUAUGAGAAUAGUUUUCAGAAAAUUGAUCAAAUUAAUUGCAUCCAGUAUUAAACGGAAUGUGGGCACUUUAAUCAUGAUACUGUCUAGUUGUUUCUCUGUUCUGCGGAUCCCCUCAAUUGAUUUACCAAACAUCUCCAGAACGAUAAAAUGUGAUCAAAACAAAUCAAUUGUUAUGUAUGUCGUUAUUCUUAACUGAAUUUUGAUACUAAUUUCAAGUCAUUGACUUAUUCUGGCUGCUUUAAUUGAUGUGUGUGAAGUUUAUAAAUUACUUCACCUUGGUUUGCUGCAAAAUGUUACAGAAUGGCUGAACCUUUAAUUAGUGACCAUCAGCAAACUUGUCAUUUAAUGUCAGCCUCAGUUUGCACUUUUCCCACUUGGGACUGAAAUUAGGUACCAUUCUUCUGUCCUAGCUCUGGAUUAAGUAUGGACAAAGUCAUUGUGUAUGGAAGUAGAGCUAGUUCUGUUCAUAGCGUAGCCCAGACAAGAAUUUAAAAACCUGUAGCUUUGAAGCAGUGCAGCCUCCUUCACUGAGGGGACAUGAUAGACCUUUGCUCAGCAGGUGCUCGUUGUGACAUGAUCAAAAUCUGAUGCUGAUUGUGAGUAAGAUGCACACCUAUGUCUGCCACUCCAUAUUGGAAUUCAAUUCAAGGUGAAAAGUAGCACUGUAAUGGUAUGUUGGUUGUAAUUGCUUUAUAGCCAAGUACAUUUUGUUUAUAGAGACUUGUAUACCUUGAACUGUGAUGAGCACCUGAGAUAGCUCUUCUGAGAACAGUGAUAUCAAGUGGUGUAGCUGUUAUUUAUUUGGCUAUACAUAAGGUUUCUUUUUGAUUUGUAGGAACCAAUGAAGUACUUGACGUAAGAAUUUAAUAUUGAGGCAGAUAUUCGAUGUUCUGCCUUUUUAGGGCAAGUUAGCUGUACACCAUAGAAUCUUGGGCUCUAGUAUAAAAUUUAAAACAAUAUUCCCAUUGUUGGACGUUUGCUUCAGUAGCUCACAAAAUAGAUCAGGAGUAUUCUGGUUUGGAAUUUUUCACUCUGGCAUGUCACUUGUUCUUUUUUAAAAGAAAUUCCUUUUCAAACCUCCAGAUGCACAAAAUUCAAUAUCUAAACUAAGUGCCAGUAUACAUAGUUUACUUAGAAGGGCCAGAUAUCUAGGCUAUGAAGCAUCUGAUGAUCCACAAGCUGCAGUUUGGAAACCCCUGUUAAGGAGCUCAUCUGAUCUUGAUCUCUUAUAUAUUUGAAUCAGUUCCUCAAACAUGUCUAGAUUUUAUGUUUAUACCUUUUUUGACUGUAUAACAGGUGUAUAGGAGAAAUAGUUAAUCAGCUAGACACAAGAUUGUUGCAAAAACUAGACUUACAAGAAAAUAAUUUGCUUUUCUGUGUGGUUAAUUUUUCACACUGAGGUGUUGAAGUGUUUUAAAUAAAGUUGAUUUUUGUUUGGUG